AUAGUGAAUUCGGGCUAGCAAGAAAAGACAAUUAAUCCAAGGUUCUUCUUCUCCUUAAUUUGGUUUGCGUGUAACAUGAGUCUAUGAUGUGUUAAGGCAAAUUGUUUAAUUACACCCUUGUGGUUUCGGGUCAGAGUUUGUUUUAAGUGUAUGGAGAACUUUUAAUGUACACUUAUGUUUUUACAGAGCUAAAAUUGAGGGUUCCGUUUAAUCUUUUUCGUCUUUGGGUAUUUACAAAGAUAUGGAUAUUAAGAUAGAAAGUGAUUAUGCCACAACUAUCAAUAUGUUGUCUUCUAGUGCUAGGGUUAGAUCGCGUUAAACAGAUUUAGAUACACUUUAUGCACUUGAGAAAUGUCUCAUCUAACGUAUACUACUAGACUUUUCAAUUACGGAUCUCGUCGUCGCGGAAGCUUGUACUAAACGAUAAACGACUGACUGCAAUAUCUAUAACUAACUAAAGCUAGAGGGUUUUAAGCACUGUUCAUCAAAAGAAAUCUGCAAGGGCCGGGUCAAGGGUCGGGUCUUGGAGCGGUUUUUCGAUUACCUAUGCAGGAGAACCCGAUACAGCUGCAAAGUAGGGCAGGUAGCCAGGUACGGCCAAUCUCCUCCUGCAGAUUGCAAUCUUCUGCAAUCUUCCCUCUACCGCAUUUGCCCCUCUCCUUGAGCUUGAAUAUCUGAGAUUGGUUGAUGAUGUUUGCUAUAAAAAUUGGAUCGAGUUUCAUACCCUGGCACACUUGGAUCGGAUAAUUCUACUACGCUUCCUGAUCCGUCGCUCCGGCAGCGGUCACUCGGCGCCGGAUGAACGUCUCCGCCGAGACCCUCUUUUCUGACCCCUAAGGUGUUCGACUAUUUCUCCAAACCAACCGUCCGCGUCGAACACCAAGCAGGUGCAGAAGCUCACUGGGUCCAAGAAUGUGAGGAUUAAGACCCAGCUUGACCCGAGUUUAGUGGCUAUAAGAAUUGAAUCCGGAGAAAGAGAAAUAGUAGCUGAUUCUUCAUCAAAGGAAAAUAAAGCAUAAGAUGAAAAAAGGAAUGAUUUUAUGCCAGUUUGGUGUAGUUGGAAAGCAACAUGCUCACAGGAGAGAUGCCUCCAAGACUUGGCAAGCAGCUAGGACCAGAAUUAUUGUUUGGAAGAAACCAUUCUGUUCAAUUUAAUUGGUUGGAACUUUACAUAGGUUCUUGAAGGAUCACCCAGAGUUCCUCUUUCACGAUUCUCAUUACAAUACCAAAGUGAAUAGCUGUAUGAAAUGAAUAUUUUAAAUACGAACAGUAUUGAAUUUUCGUCACCUUCUCUGGCAGGUACAAUAAGCUAUGCAACUUUAUGAGGAGAUGAAACAUUUGUUGUGGAUCCUCCAAUUACCCUCUGGAUUUUGAAAUGGAUGCUUGACUGAGAUCUAUGUUUUGAGAGCUCCCAAUCACAACACCACUUGAAUGAGCUGUCUGUGAAUUGAAGGAGAAGAAGAAAUUAGCAUCAGCAAGAAGUAGCAUGUUGAAUUGAAGGAGAUGGAACUAGCAUCACAAGAAGGAAUUGAAGGAGGAUUAGAAAUUAGUAUCAGCAAGAAGUAGCAUGUGGAAUUGAAGGAGAUGGAAGUAGCAUCACAAGAAGUAAUUGAGCAGUUUUCGUUUGAGAGAGAAUGGAAAAAAUGAAGAAAUGUGAGCCAAGUAUAUAUUUGUACUCAUUUAUCUUUAUGUAAAAAACACAAUUAAUUGAUCAUUUUUCCCUUUAUUUUGUAUUAAAAUCCCAUUAUCUGUACUUUGGAGCAUUUUUUUUCCAGCUCCCACAAACGGUUGCUUGAUUUUAAAUAAAAAUGUAUGCUUCAUGAAA